GACAGACUUCCAGAAUGGCACGGUGAGAACCUUCAUGAACUCAUUGCCCCACAAAAACAAUGAAAAUACUGGCAAAACCAACUAUUUCAAAGCUCUGAAAAUUAACCAAAGCCACAGAACAAACUGAAAAUUGUGGAAGAGAAACUACUGAACCUUGGAACUUUGGAAGAGGACUCUGAUGUCACAAAAGCCCUCUUCCGACGAGCCGCCUUAUAUUUCGGCAUCUUAAACACAAAAUCGUUGAUGAGAGCAAAGAAGAACAGGUGUGUUUCUGUUUAACAUUCCUACUACGUGUAUGAAUGAAGUAAAGCUAUCUUAGGGGAAGCAGCAAUGCUCUUCACGGGAACGUGUGACCUGCUUGGCUUUGCAGCUGCGUUUUCCCUCGAAAGAACUACAUCCAGAUCAAAGCUGUUUGAUGGAAGUGAAUUUUCUAAGAAGUUUCCAAGAACCAGAAAAAAAAGCAAUCCUGGAGGAGCCAUCCUUAGAGCCAUUUUACAGGAUCAUGGAAGCUUAUGAAUUUGCCCAUGGCACCUGGGUAGUAAGUGGCAAAAUCUGGUUUCAAACCCAGAUUACCACAUGUUAAAAUAUGUAUGUAGCCGACUUCCUCCUUGAUUAAUAAAAAGUAGUUCAAGACUCUGAAGAGAUUACUAUUAAAAAUGUGAUGAAUUUACACACACGGGAUUAGUCCUUUGGGAGAGAAAGAUGCAAUUCCACUGUUGGGCCAUGCAUUAAGUUUUCUUUUAAACUAAAAGGAUGGUGUACUAGAUGCUUUCUCCAUGAAGCUUAAGAACUGAAUUUACCGUUUUAUUACUGAGAUCAAACCUAAUGUACUUGAUAUUAAAAAAAAGAAAUGGAAACUUACUUAACUUUCUAAGUUAUGUAAUAAAAAUCACGUCUGGAUCUAGAGAUGUCAAAAGCUAUUUUACUAAAUCUAUCAAUGGAAAUAUAUCUUUACUGCCAAAUUUUAUAUUUUCCUGAAUAUGUUUCUGACUUAAUAGACACAUUUAUUUAAUGGUGACUUUAAAUGACCAUGUUGAUAUUUCUCCCCCUUUCCCCAACUUCCUUCCACCCAAAAGUUCCAAGGGUUUCAUUAUUUUCUAAGUAAUGAUGGUUUAGGAAUAAGCAAUGACAAGCUCCCAUGUCUAUAUUUUCUGAUUUUUAAAAAUUGUAAUUGUCUAAGUGUGAUCGUAGGCCAAGGGUAAUGAAAUGUGUACAAUUGUCAAUGACUGAUAUCUUGACUUUGAGGCAGAUUAUUUGGGGAAUAGCCAAACUAAUGAUGUUUAACUGGGCUGUGCUCCUGAAUUGCUUUGCUAAUCCUUAAAAGGGUUUUUGUAAAGAGGUGUGCAUGUAGUACAUUUUAUUUAUCAAGGUGAUUGUCAAAACUAGAGAAGGGUUUGGAAUUCCUAACCAUUGGAAAUUACAGAAAAGGUAAUUCCCACUUUGGCCAGGUUUUCUCUCUAAGCCUCAGUUUCCUCAUCUGUAAAAUGGAGAUAAUACCAACUUCAUGGAGUUGCUGUGAGGACUGACAUGAUAAUGUAUGGAAAGCACCUAGCAUGUAGUUUGUGCUCAAUAUGUGACAGAAAAUCAGUCAUGCUCAAUUUAAUUACUUGGAAAGACAAAAUAUUUCUAAAGUGGCACGCCAUUUGUCAUUCUUAUACAUAACUUUUCUAAACAAAGAAGACUCACUCCAUUUUCUUGACGUACCACAGGCAAGAGUCUGUACUUGUCAAAUAGUCAAGUGCAAAACUGAAGUGACCAUCCUUAGAUGUAUUACCAGGUGCCAUUUCUUUUUCAAUGGUUUAUUUGUAGGACUGAGGUUUGGGGGAAAUUAAUAUAUUGCCUUGUCAUAAAAUUUGCCAUUCAAAUCAGCAGUUCUUUUACUCAGAUAGAUAUAACUAAUUAUGAAUUAUAAUAAAAACGACUUCAUUCGGCAGCAGGAGUUCUCUCAUUCAUUGCUGCUGGGAAUGCAAAAUGGUGUAGCCACUUUGGAAGACAGUUGGGUAGCUUCUCACAAAGUUAAACACAGUCUUACCAGAUGAUUCAGCAGUCACGACCCUUGAUACUUCCUGAAAUGAGCUGAAAACUUAUGUCCACACAAAAACCUACACAUGACUGUUUAUAGCAGCUUUAUUCAUUAUUGCCAAAAAUUGGAAGCAGUCAAGAUGUCCUUCAACAGGUGAAUGGAUAAACAAACUGGUACAUCCAGACAGUGCAAUAUUACUCAGUAAUAAAAUCAAUGAACUAUCAAGCCAUGCAAAAACAUGGAGGAAUCUUGAAUGCGUAUUACUAAGCAAAAGCAGCCAGUCUGAAAAGGCUACAUACGUAUGUCUCCAACUGUAUGUCAUUCUGGAGAAGACAAAACUAUAGAGGCAGUGAAAAGGUCAGUGGUUGCCAGGAGUUUGGAGGAGGGACAAAUGGAUAGGUGGCGCAUAGGGGGUUUUUAGGGCAGUGAAACUACUCUGAUUGUAAUGGUGGACACAUGCCGUUAAACAUCUGUCAGAACCCCUAGAAUUGUACAAAGAGUGGACCUUAAUGUAAACUAUAGACUUUCUUUAAUAAUAAUGUAUCAGUAUUGGCUCACAAAUUGUAAAAAAUGUACUACACCAAUGCAAGAUAUUAAUAAUAGGGCAAACUGAGCAGGGAGCAUCUAGGAGAACUCUCUGUACUUUCUGCUCAAGUUUUCUGUCAGUCCAAAGCUGCUCCAAAAAAAAAAAACAGUUCUAUUAAGAAAACCCCCACAUUCUAUAUAUCAUUCACCUCCCUACUCCUCCAUUUGGUUUAUCUGUUUCAGGAACAGAAGUUACAAAACAGGAGGAUGGAAACAGUCAUCUGCAAUAUGGUAACUGGAGAACAAUACUUUCCUAAGUCAGUAAAUGUCCUCUCUGAUAUGGUGUUAGCCUCCAUGCUACCCUCUAAGCUACACUAUAACUCACUAGGGAAAACAGUAUCACCACGCAGACACUAAAAUGUGUGUGAGUAUCCAUUUAAUUGAAAUAUUUU